CCUGUAUGACCAUAGCAAGUCUAUGCUACCACCCCCUUCCCAUCCCCGAACAGGACCGUGAAACGACCUGCGCCGAUGAUAGCUUGCUGCAACCAGUGUUUGAAAUGUUGGUUAUCGUCAGGC
rnacentral:rRNA from 1 species